AUACUUACCUGGCAGGAGAAAUACCAUGAUCACUAAGGUGGUUCUCCCAGGGCGAGGCUCAUCCAUUGCACUCCAGGUGUGCUGACCCCUGCGAUUUCCCCAAAUGCGGAAAACUCAACUGCAUAAUUUGGGGUAAACGUUAACAUUAUUCAAAGUUAUUGUC
ensembl:snRNA U1 U1 spliceosomal RNA